ACUUCUCAAAGCCACCAACAUCACCACCAGUUUCCCUUCUCCCUGAUUCAGACGCCGAAGAUUUCUUCGCCAACAUAGAUUUCUCCUUUUCCCUUUCCUUCUCACGUCUUAGAGCACCUUCUUUGAUCUUCCUACCAAAAGCAGUGGGCAGAAAGUUUCCUCCAUCAGCUUCAACCUCAUCAGCAUUACUAUUAUUAUUAUUCGAACUGCUACCAGUACCAAAUCCAAGGCCCCCAGCAGAUGCUGCCCCAAAUCCCAAUCCUAAACCUCUAUUCUCUUCUUCUGGCAUUAGCUGCUCCUCAUUCUCCUCUUUGGAAUUCUGAUCAAUUUCUUUGUUAGGCAUAACAAUUCCAGUUGAUACGAAAUUAACAGGUUUGGUUAGGUCAGGUUUCGAUGAAAA
rnacentral:misc_RNA from 1 species